rnacentral:rRNA from 1 species
UACGAAGGGGGCUAGCGUUGUUCGGAAUUACUGGGCGUAAAGGGCGCGUAGGCGGCGCAAGAAGUCAGGCGUGAAAGCCCCGGGCUCAACCUGGGAAUUGCGCUUGAUACUCUUGUGCUCGAGUUCGGGAGAGGAGAGUGGAAUUCCCAGUGUAGAGGUGAAAUUCGUAGAUAUUGGGAAGAACACCGGUGGCGAAGGCGGCUCUCUGGACCGAUACUGACGCUGAGGCGCGAAAGCGUGGGGAGCAAACAGG